rnacentral:rRNA from 1 species
GUUAGCGGCGGACGGGUGAGUAACACGUGGGUAACCUACCUAUAAGACUGGGACAACUUCGGGAAACCGGAGCUAAUACCGGAUAAUAUGUUGAACCGCAUGGUUCAAUAGUGAAAGAUGGUUUUGCUAUCACUUAUAGAUGGACCCGCGCCGUAUUAGCUAGUUGGUGAGGUAACGGCUCACCAAGGCAACGAUACGUAGCCGACCUGAGAGGGUGAUCGGCCACACUGGAACUGAGACACGGUCCAGACUCCUACGGGAGGCAGCAGUAGGGAAUCUUCCGCAAUGGGCGAAAGCCUGACGGAGCAACGCCGCGUGAGUGAUGAAGGUCUUAGGAUCGUAAAACUCUGUUAUUAGGGAAGAACAAACGUGUAAGUAACUGUGCACGUCUUGACGGUACCUAAUCAGAAAGCCACGGCUAACUACGUGCCAGCAGCCGCGGUAAUACGUAGGUGGCAAGCGUUAUCCGGAAUUAUUGGGCGUAAAGCGCGCGUAGGCGGUUUUUUAAGUCUGAUGUGAAAGCCCACGGCUCAACCGUGGAGGGUCAUUGGAAACUGGAAAACUUGAGUGCAGAAGAGGAAAGUGGAAUUCCAUGUGUAGCGGUGAAAUGCGCAGAGAUAUGGAGGAACACCAGUGGCGAAGGCGACUUUCUGGUCUGUAACUGACGCUGAUGUGCGAAAGCGUGGGGAUCAAACAGGAUUAGAUACCCUGGUAGUCCACGCCGUAAACGAUGAGUGCUAAGUGUUAGGGGGUUUCCGCCCCUUAGUGCUGCAGCUAACGCAUUAAGCACUCCGCCUGGGGAGUACGAC